AUAUUGAAGAAGAAGCUUCCAAAGGAUAACGAAUUGCCCGACAGUACAUAUGCAGCAAAGAAGGUCGUAUGCCCUCUAGGAUUGGAGGUGCAGAAGAUACAUGCAUGCCCUAAUGACUGCAUCCUCUACCGCGGUGCGUACAAGGAUUUGAACGCACGCCCGAUAUGCGAUGCAUUGCGGUAUAAGAUCAGACGAGAUGACCCUGGUGAUGUUGAGGGCGAGCCCCGCACACUACAUGAAUCAGCUACUUUGCCGUCUGCCAGGGUAGACGACAAAGGCAUGGAAGGCGGACGGCAAAGGCCUUUUCCAUCUGCCGCGGAUGGCAAAAUGCGCCGGCAAAGACAGGAUCAGCAAAGACCUUCUUUGCCGUCUGCUUCCUGA
rnacentral:rRNA from 1 species